AAUAGGAAGGAGAAUAAGUAUCCUCAUCGAAUGUCACGGAAAGGAUAUGCUAACUUCCAAGAAGAACUGGCUGAAAAAAUACCGAUUGAAGAAUUGGAUCGUGCUACGAUGUGGAUAAAGGCCCGGCAAGACAAGAGCGGCAACUUCAAAGGGCCAGCAGUGAAGAAGAAGGUCGAAAAAAUUGAAAGUUUGAAGAGGAAAGUGUUUGAAGGAGAAAUCAACCCUGAAGGA